UACGUAGGUGGCAAGCGUUGUCCGGAUUUACUGGGCGUAAAGAGCGCGCAGGCGGUCGAGUAAGUCGAAUGUGAAAGCCCCCGGCUUAACUGGGGAGGGUCAUUCGAUACUGUUCGACUUGAAGGCAGGAGAGGGCAGCAGAAUUCCCGGUGUAGUGGUGAAAUGCGUAGAUAUCGGGAGGAACACCAAUUGCGAAGGCAGCUCGCUGGAACGUUACUGACGCUGAGACGCGAAAGCGUGGGGAGCAAACAGG
rnacentral:rRNA from 1 species